rnacentral:rRNA from 1 species
GAGGGGCCCGCGCCCGAUUAGCUUGUUGGUAGGGUAACGGCCUACCAAGGCUUUGAUCGGUAGCCGGUCUGGGAGGAUGGCCGGCCACACUGGAACUGAGACACGGUCCAGACUCCUACGGGAGGCAGCAGUGGGGAAUCUUGCGCAAUGGGCGAAAGCCUGACGCAGCGACGCCGCGUGGGGGAUGAAGCCUUUCGGGGUGUAAACCCCUUUCGACCCGGACGAAUGGCCCGCAAGGGAAUUGACGGUACGGGUAGAAGAAGCCCCGGCUAACUACGUGCCAGCAGCCGCGGUAAGACGUAGGGGGCCAGCGUUGCUCGGAAUUACUGGGCGUAAAGGGUCCGUAGGCGGUGCGGCAAGUCGGGGGUGAAAUCUCUGGGCUUAACUCAGAGGCUGCCUCCGAAACUGCCGUGCUCGAGUGCGGGAGAGGCGAGCGGAAUUGCAGGUGUAGCGGUGAAAUGCGUAGAUAUCUGCAGG